rnacentral:lncRNA from 1 species
UAUUAAAAAUUUAGAACAUCUUGACUAUAAGACUAGUCCUACUUCGAUUGAUUCUCAUCAUCAUUUAAUUCAUAACACCAUUAAUGCUAUACAUCAAAAACAAUUGUUAAUACUAUUGAAAGUCUAAAUUCUGUUGUGAAUAAUACUAGACCUGAAUUGCUUAUGCUAUUGAUCUGCUUAGUAGAUUUACUCAUAAUCCUAAUUCUAAUCAUUGAUGGAAAUUUCAUAGAUGGUUUAGAUAUUUGACAUAUAUUAUGAAUUAUAGUUUAGUUUUGAUCAUAACUCUAUUAUUUUAGAAUGUCAUAAUGAUGCUAAUUGAGCAUCUAAUAGAACCGAUUCUAAAUUUGCUAGGGUUGGGUUUUUUACUAUUGGUGUUAUUGUCAUUGCUCUAAUCAUUUAGCAAACAAACUCAUGUUACUUUAUUUAGGACAGAAUUUGAAUAUCUAGCUAUCUCUAAAGCUAGAAAAGAAAC